rnacentral:rRNA from 1 species
AGAGUUUGAUCCUGGCUCAGGAUCAACGCUGGCGGCGUGCCUAAUGCAUGCAAGUCGCACGGCGGUCCUUCGGGAUUGCAGUGGCGAACGGCUGAGGAACACGUACGAACCUACCCGCUCGUGGGGAAUAACGCGCCGAAAGGUGUGCUAAUACCGCGUACGCUUCCCUUGGGAAGGAAAGCAGGCAACUGCGCGGGCGGUGGGGCGUGCGGCCCAUCAGGUUGUUGGCGGGGUAAUGGCCCACCAAGCCGGUGACGGGUCGCUGGUCUGUGAGGACGAUCAGCCAGACUGGGACUGAGACACGGCCCAGACACCUACGGGUGGCAGCAGCAAGGAAUCUUCGGCACUGGGCGCAAGCCUGACCGAGCAACGCCGCGUGGAGGACGACGGCCUUCGGGUUGUAAACUCCUUUCGGGGGGGACGAAACGGACGGUACCCUCAGAAGCAGCCCCGGCUAACUCUGUGCCAGCAGCCGCGGUAAUACAGAGGGGGCAAGCGUUGUCCGGAUUUACUGGGCGUACAGCGCGCGCAGGCGGUCGUCGACGUGCCGUGUGACAUUCCACUGCUUAACAGUGGCGGGCCACGGUAGACGCGGGGACUGGAGGCAGGGAGAGGGAUGUGGAAUACCCGGUGGAGCGGUGAAAUGCGUAGAGAUCGGGUGGAACACCAGCGGCGAAGGCGGCAUCCUGGUCCUGUACUGACGCUGAGGCGCGAGAGCGUGGGGAGCGAACCGGAUUAGAUACCCUAGUAGUCC